rnacentral:rRNA from 1 species
AUAUCAAUAAGCGGAGGAAAAGAAACCAACAGGGAUUGCCCCAGUAACGGCGAGUGAAGCGGCAUCAGCUCAUGUUUGAAAUCUUCGGAAUUGUAACAUUUCAUGAAGGACCAACCAAAGUUCAUUGGAAUAUGACACCACAGAGGGUGAUAGUCCCGUUAAAUGGCCCCCCUAUUCAUGACUUUUCAGAGUCGAGUUGUUUGGGAAUGCAGCUCAAAUGGUGGUAUACUCCAUCGAAGGCUAAAUACAGACGAGAGACCGAUAGCGCACAAGUA